rnacentral:lncRNA from 1 species
GCCUUGUAAACCAUCUUCCUUUCUCCCUGCUCUUGUUUUCUGUCAUGAAGUCUUGCUGUUUUUGGGCUGUUUUGGUGACUAGGGAGGAAUGUAGGCUUCUCAGAAGUACAUGAGCUAUUUUGCUCUUCAGUAGUGUCCCUGCUCUGCUCAUAGAUGGAGGAGAGCUGGGUGGAGAGGAUCAGUCAGGAGGCUAAGGAGAGGCAUGAAAGAAAGCCUCUGAAGCAGGAUGGAGUGGCAGAAAGGCUGCAUUUUCUCAAUGGAUCUGUGAAAUGAGGUGAUCCUGCUGUCAUUUCUGCAGCAGGGACUUGCCAGGGAACAGGAAGUAAAUGGAGUGUCUUGAGGAGAUGCCUUGUAGGGAGAGCUGACUGCCAGCCAAAAACCCGUCCAGCUACAAAAGCAGCUGUUUCAGCCCAAAGAAUCUUUUGGUUGCAGCUGGCUGUGCUGUGCCCUGUAUCAGCCUCCAGAGAGCCUGUGUCACAGGACAGGAGACCUUUCAGCUGGAGAAGUCAGCCGCUGUUGAAGCUUGACCCAGAUUCUGAGACCUUGGUCUCCUCCCUGUGCCACCUCUUGUCUGAGCUGAGGCAUCCUCCCACAUGGAGAAAGGAGCUUCAAAAAUCACUGGUCAAUCCAUUCUUCUUCAUGCCUUGUCAGUCCUUGCUAAGAGGGGGUGUGAGACGUUCCCCCCCCCAUAAGUCACGACUUAGGCGAACCUCAGGAUCAUCUUCUCAUGAUGGCUUUUAAAAAGGAAGGCUUUGCCUUCCUUUGCUUCAGCCUUUCAGUGAUCCUUUGAGAUCCCCACGUGUUUUUGACCAUUCCUGAGCCCCAAGCUGGAAUUUCUAAAGCACUACCAGCAGCAAGCCCAAGCAAAACAGUGAUGGCUGAGAGCAGAAGGAAGCAGCGUGUGCUCAUAGUGUGGAGAACUGCGCAUGCAGGUAAGCUCUGAACAAUUUCUGAUUUUAUACUUUGCCAGUGUGUUAUUUAUGCUCUUGGAUCAUGAGGCACAUCUGCUUGGUCAGCCUUGAAAGUGGCUUGGCUCCAGCAAUCAAGACAAGCAGACCAAAGCAUUUCCAAAUUCUUGGUCAUGUUUGAGAUCUCCCUGCGUUCCUGGCUGGGUUAUGUGAAUG